rnacentral:misc_RNA from 1 species
CCUACGGGGGGCAGCAGUUUCGAAUCAUUCACAAUGGGCGAAAGCCUGAUGGUGCGACGCCGCGUGAGGGACGAAGGCCUUCGGGUCGUAAACCUCUGUCACCGGGGAAGAAACGCUGCAUAUUAAUCGUAUGCAGCCUGACUUAACCCGGAGAGGAAGCAGUGGCUAACUCUGUGCCAGCAGCCGCGGUAAUACAGAGACUGCAAGCGUUAUUCGGAUUCACUGGGCGUAAAGGGUGCGCAGGCGGUCGUGUGUGUCAGGUGUGAAAUCCCGGAGCUUAACUCCGGAACUGCGCCUGAAACUACACGACUAGAGCAUUGGAGAGGGAAGUGGAAUUCAUGGUGUAGCAGUGAAAUGCGUAGAUAUCAUGAGGAACACCAGAGGCGAAGGCGACUUCCUGGACAAUUGCUGACGCUCAGGCACGAAAGCAUGGGGAGCAAAAGGGAUUAGAUACCCUUGUAGUC